rnacentral:rRNA from 1 species
UACGAGAGGCCCAAACGUUAUUCGGAAUUACUGGGCUUAAAGAGUUCGUAGGCGGCGCGGAAAGUAGGGUGUGAAAGCCCCUCGGCUUAACCGAGGAAUUGCGCUCUAAACUACCGUGCUUGAGGAACCUAGAGGUGAGCAGAACUGAUGGUGGAGCGGUGAAAUGCGUUGAUAUCAUCAGGAAUACCGGAGGCGAAGGCGGCUCACUGGGGGGUUUUUCUGACGCUGAGGAACGAAAGCCAGGGUAGCGAACGGG